GAUUGGAAAUGUGAAAAUACUCCUUAUUCUUCAUGUUGCAUUCCUUUACAGAAGCUUUGUUGGUUUCAAAAAUUUCAGUUCCAUUGCAGGUAGAUGUUACUAGAAAAAUUUGUAUGCCUAAUAUUUCCUGCUUGUUUUGAAUCUCUAUUUAAGUGAGACUAAUCCAUAUUGUCACAAUAGAUCAUUCGAUCAAUUAUGUUGUUCUACCUGGAACAUCUUUGCCUUUCUUGAAUGAAAAUGUGAACAUACUCAUUAUUCUUCCUCUUCUUUACCUUUACUGUAGCCUUUUUUUCCCUCAAAAUUUCAGUUUCAUUGCAAGUUCCUUGUGCAUGAAUAAUUUUUCUAUUUGAGUUGGUGUUCCUGCUUGUUUUGAAUGUGUAUUCAUGGGGUAAAUUUCAUCCACCAUCCCUGAUCAACAUUAACAUCCUUAAACUUCAAUUUGUCUCUGAAAACUCCUUGAUCUUUUAUUUGAAUCUCAUGAAGCUCCUUUUUGCUUAAAUCCAUUAAUUCCUCGGAUGGAAUAUCCACCUGGUAUCCAUGUCCUCUUAAUGCUAAUGUGAAUUUUCUCUUUCGUCAUUUCUUGAUUCUCUCUUUCAUCCCUCAUCAAACCAAACCAAACUCAAGCUUUUCUUCGAAAAAUGAAUCCCAACAAACCCCAUGGAACCAAAUUAGUCCCGGUUCCUUCCUAUUCCAACUUUUCUCCCCAAAUCUGUCAAAAUAUUAUUGAAUUUAUUUGUAUCUCUAAAAGCAUCAUUAACUCAAAAUCUAAAAUUACCCUAACAGACAACAACACAUUACAAGAUGAACGCUAAUUCUAAUUGCUAGUUGAAGCAAAACCCAGUAGGCAAAUCUGCCCUAAAGCCAAUAUUCCUUUAUGUAUGUUUUUUGUCACCGCAAUUUGAAGCUUCCAAUGAAGAAAAUGCUGCAAGCAUGAAAGAAUUCAAAGUUUGAGUGGGCUGGGUGUUUAAAGCUGUGAAGUGGAUAGUAUUAAUAAGAAUGAUUUUAUAUGAUUUUGAAAAGAAAGAGAGUGAGAGAAACAAAAGAGAGUUUUGUUGUUAUGGAAGGAAAAUGAGAUCAGAGAGGAAAGGGGGUAAAGUGAAAGGAUGGGGAAA
rnacentral:misc_RNA from 1 species